AGCUCUCCGAGUGGUGUGGAUGGUUAUUGGGCUUAAAGCAUCCGUAGCCUGCUGAGCAAGUCCCCUGUUAAACCCAACGAUUUAAUCGUUGGUCUGCGGGGGAUACUGUUCGGCUAGGGGGCGGGAGAGGCCGCCGGUAUUCUCGGGGUAGGGGUGAAAUCCUAUAAUCCCGGGGAGGACCACCAGUGGCGAAGGCUGUCGGCUAGAACGCGCCCGACGGUGAGGGAUGAAAGCUGGGGGAGCGAACCG
rnacentral:rRNA from 1 species